GUCGGUUGAUCAGUUGCCAAAGAUCGAGUUGCUUCAGCAAUUGGCCGCGUUGUUAUUUAGCACAUUGAAAAUUAUUCUGCAGCAAGUCAAACAAGCAACGAGGUGACGGACGAUUAGGCGCACACGGUAGGCCGAUCAUCAUCACCCAUGCGAAAAAGUGUGAUUAAAAAUGGUCGGGUAUCAGAUUGUUUGGCACGGCUCGGUUGGCCCAUGCCACAUAUCGAAUGAGCAAAACUAAUUUCGCAUUAUGGAACUGGCACGAGUU